AUUGCCACCGGGCUGUUUACUAAGUGAUUCAAGUAUUUUUAAACCCUUCUUACAGAGCCACUUUCUUUCCUCAUAUAGCCGGUUGCCAAAUUCUUGUUAUAUAUUUCAGUUGUAACUUCUGUUUCUGGUGUGGUGUUCUAUUUAGUUUAAUGGCACCUGUGUUUGACAGCUUGUUGACAUCUUUAGGACAUGAUGACAAGUUUUCUCCAUUGAGAGGCCUCCAAUAUCUGUAAUCUAAACUGCAGGCCCUGCAAGGAUUGCAGGUGUCAAUCAAAUCCUAAUCACUUCAAUAGUGAUCACAGCUUUUUACAAUACUACUCUGUUGUUGCAGACAGACGGUAUGAUGGAAUGAAAGGGUCACUAGUUACUGCCAGAGAGUUGAUUAACACACCUGAAACUUGGAAGGACUUGCAACAACCCCCAAAAAAGGAAAGAGAACAAUGAGUGGGAGGAGAAGAAAAAGAAAGCCAGGAAAACAAGAAAAAUGACAAACUGAUGAGUUAGAAAACAAUGAAAAAUACAUGAGGGCUAGAAAGCGCUGGAGCUAAUUUGUCGUAUUGGAAACUCUUCGGCCUGGUCUACACUAUGGGGUUAGGUCAAAUUUAGCUGCGUCAGGUCGAUUUAAAAAUGACUGCGUCCAUACAACCAAGCCCAUUCCAUCGACCUAAAGUGUUCUUACAAUCGACUUCUGUACUCUUCCUCCAUGAGGGGAGUAGUGCUAAAAUCAACCUUGCUGGGUUGAAUUUGGGGUAGUGCAGACACAAAUUGACAGUAUGGGCAUCCGGGAGCUAGCCCAGAAUGCUCCAUUAUGACCACUUUGGCCAGCACUUUGAACUCCGAUGCACUAGCCAGGUACACAGGAUAAGCCCUGGGAACUUUUGAAUUUCAUUUCCUGUUUGGUCAGCGUGGCAAACUCAGCAGCACAGGUGACCAUGCAGCGCCCCCAGAGAGGAGGAUUUUGUGGAUGAGAAAGAGGAGGAGGAGGAGAACGCACAGCAGGCAAGAGGUGAAUCCAUUCUCCCCAACAGCCAGGACCUUUUCAUCACCUUGGAGCCAAUACCCUCCCAAGGGAAGAUCCCCGACCUUGAAGCCGGAGAAGGCACCUUUGUGCAAAUGUUUCUAUGCUCCCCCUAUCAUCUCUGUCCCUGAGGUUAUCGCAGAUUAGAAGGCAACACAUUCGCGAUGACGUGUUUUCCAAGCUCAUGCAGUCCUCCCGCACUGAUAGAGAACAGCUUAAUGCAUGGAGGCAUUCAGUGGCAGAGGCCAGGAAAGAAUUAAGUGAGCACUAAGAGUGGAGGCAAGACGCAAUGCUGAGGCUAAUGGGGGAGCAAACGGAUAUGAUGAAACAUCUGUUGGAGCUGCAGAAAAGCCAGCAAGAGCACAGACCCCAACUGCAUCCACUAUAUCACCGCAUGGCCUCCUCCCCAAGUUCCAUAUCUGGCUCACACAGAUGCCCAAGAACGCGGGGAGGGAGGCUCCAGGCACUCAGCCACUCCACUCAGAGGAUGCCCCAAGCAACAGAAGGUUGUCAUUCAAACAGUUUGAUUUUUAGUGUGGCUACAAUAAACAAUGUGGUCUUGUCCUUC